UUUGGUAAAAUGACUGGUCAUGGGCGGAUUUGAUGGCUGAUAUAUUUUAUACUGUUAUGCUGCAAUUUCUGCCUAUAAAAGGCCUCUUUGUUCUCGGUUUGUAAACAUAACAGAAAACAAUUCUUCUCUUCUCUUCUCUCUACAAAGUUACUUCGAGCAUUUUUCUUUAUUUUUCGGUGUUUAGUUAGCCCGGUGGUUCUGUGCAAAUCCAUUGGUACAUUGCAAUUUGAGAGGCUGUUUUAUCCUGGGGGAUAUCCGGUGGUGUACGAUCUGCUUGCACAAACUAAAGGCAGUACCGUGAAUGUUCUAAAGAAAGCGACAUAAUCCGCGACUCAGUCUUAUUCCCGGUAAUAUUGUUCUUAUUAUUUUUGUUCCUGCAACUUUCAUUUAUAACAAUACUUUAUAUUUUUCUGAUUCUUGACAAUUCCAUAUGGUACUCCGCAUGUAAGCUAAAUUUGUUUUCUUAAUAAUCAGGAGUACUAAGUAUAUGAUAUAGAGUACAUGAUAAUAUGAUAUCCCUUUUAAUUUUGGCUCAUUAUAAAUUUUACGUUUAAUUUUUGUUAAUAUCAGUCAAGUGCUAAUGUGAGAGUUGAUUUUAAAAAUGAGAAAUUAAUUAGUUAAGUUAAACGCAAGAAAAAUUAAAGAAAAUUAACAAGGAAAAAAAAAAUAAUUAGGUGGUUCACUCUCCAUGUGCUAGCUACAUUCGCGAAUAAGCGAGAGGAGAGUUUCUUACUAAUCUCAAACAUAAUACAGACUACAUAGUUGCUAGGUUAAGCCAAUAAAAUAUAUAUAUAGGAUUGAGAUUAUGUGAGAACCAAGACUUAUAAUAGAAACUAGGAACCCUUAUACACCGUUGAUUGCGUUUCAUCGCACGAUGCAGAUUUCACCCGCUUUAUUAAGGGUAUUUUCGUAAAUAUGCGUUAUGAAUGACUUCUGCUCUAGUAUUUUCGCUGCUUCCCUCCUUUCUCUCUCUUCUUAUGACUUUCUCUCUCUACCUUCUAAUUCUCUAAACGACGAUUUUGUUCUUCGAUUUCGCCAAUCUAUUUCUUUGAUUUUGCUCAUCUAUUUUGACGAUUUCUUCAAUUUCGUUUGUCAUGUUGUUGAAUUUGGUGUGAUUUGAUCAUUUCUGCAGAGGGGAGUGAAAUUAGAGUUGUGUACGGUGGUGUGUUUGAGUUGUGUGGCAAAAAAGGGUGUGGUGAUGUUUGUCGGUUUCUGUUGUUUGGGUGGGUGAAGGAGCUAGGCUGGUGAUUUGUUACAGGGUGGUUGAUGCUAGAAACAAGCGGAAAGCGAGUUUACUUUUGAGUUUUUCUAUUUUACUUUUGAAUUAAUACUCUACCCCGAGUGAAAUUUAUUAUCUGGAGGGCUUGCAAGGGGCCAUUACCUACUGUGCAGGGUCUGAGAAGGAAGGGGAUGGAAGUUGAUUCAAUGUGUAGCAUAUGUGGGACUGUAGAGGAAAGCGAGCUUCACUGUUUGAAGGAGUGCGUAAUUGAGAGACAGAUUUGGGAUACGUGUGACCUGAGUGGAGAGAUAGGUGGCUAUUUCUGAGAUUUUGGAGAUAUGGCGAGUGUGUGCUUUGAUAGGUUGCAAAGAACUGAGCAUGGUUUCUUCAUGACCGUGUGUUGGGCGAUAUGGACAGCAAGGAACAGGUGGGUCUUUGAGGAGGAGUGCGAUCCCAUUAAAUCUGUAGAGUAUGUUACUAAGCUUAUGAAGGAGCUUGAUGUGGAAAAGGGGAAGAUAAGGUGGGUGCGAGGGCCAAAGCGUAAGAAAUGGAGACAAGCUGCUGGCUGCUACAAAUUGAAUGUGGAUGGGAGGAUGUUUGGGGGGAGGGGAUUGUGUGCGGGAGCUGUAAUCAAGGGGAAUGAUGGAAGGCUCAUGUAGCUGCUUCGUGGAAGGUGAAAAACCGCUAGGAGCCUUGCAUCAGUGAAACUGUUUUUGAAGUUACUAAUGUUGUCUUUGCUCAUUUUAUUAUUGUCAACUUUAUAUAUACUAGCCUACUAGCUCAAUAGGCAGAGCAUGUGAAAAUGCACAAAUGUGUGGGUUCAAAUCCCACGUAGGUUCAUUUGUAUUUACUUUAAGAAAUAUUUUAUUUGCUUCAACUUAUUUUGUAUCUACUUUUAUUACUUAGAAACUCAAGCUCACUUAUCCAAGGAUUAAAGAUAUGAUAAGGUUUUAUAAUCUUAUACUACGUAUUUAAGCA